rnacentral:lncRNA from 10 species
GCAUAAAAACUUGGGUCUCAUGCUUUCCCACCAAUAUGCUUUUUACAACAUUAUCUGGAUGAGGCUCAGAGAAGUUAGGCAACUUUCCUGAGGUUCCCCAGCAAGAAAGAAGCAGAGCCCAGGGUCAGUGCCAUUUAUGUUGUCCAAUAAAGACAACAUUUGGCAGUGAAGAGGGCCCUGGAUGUGGGGCCCAGAGACCUGGCUUGAAGCUUGGAGAAACCCUGUUCGGCUCUCUGGGCCUCAAUCUCUGCAUCUGUAAAGUGGGGCUGCAUCCAGAUGCCUUAGUGUGUGUCUGUGUCUCUGGGCAUGCUCAGGGACACCUUCACAGGGAAAAGAAGCUCGCACAGGUGAAAGGGAAAACAUUCCAGGCCAAGAAAGGAGAGCUGGACCCAUACAGGUAGAGGAACAGGAGGGAAGUCAGGCUGGAGCAGCAGCAGCAGGAAAUGGAAGCUGAGGCUGGGGCUGGGAAGAGCAGCCCGAGAGGCCUUUCAUUUCCAGGUGGGCCCAGUUCCCAUCCUUGACCUUGGUUGUUCACCUCAAGAUGUUUUCAGACGAGAGAUACCCAGUCCACCUCUCUGGAUCUGAAAGUGCAAUUUUAUCCCUCCGGAUUUGCGUAGAAAACGUCUGGCCCCUGCCCCAUCUCGUUUUCCCAGCCAGGUCUCAGAGCUCGGUUCACAUGAGGCGAAAUAUUUGGACAUCAGCAAAGCAUUAAGUAAUUGGUGGAUUUUUUUUUCCUUUUCCAUUUGCAUUUGUUUGUUUCCUGCAGGGUUGCCUGACACUAGCCAGCCUUGAAUUUGGUCCUGUUCUCUGCACAGCUGGACUCAGGGAGCCCAACCCAGAUUGUGCAUAGAACAGGUGGCCUGCCUGGGGGCCAGUGAGAUGGUGUUGGGUACAUAGACAGCAGCGGGUGCUGCAGACUCCCUGGGAUCUUGAGGGGGGAAGUAAGAAAAUGGGAGCAGGUCCCCCAAAACACCAGCAGACUGCACUCCCAUCAUGACCUAAUGAGAUAGUGCAGUUGACCAAAAUAGCAAUGUCAUCCAAGAGAACACAUCUUCCUACUAGCAACAGCCAACACGGGAAAUUGAAUGAACCCAGGGGGCGCAGACCUAAGAGACCUGGCUAGCGUCUGGCUCUUUGAGCCUUGGGACAUUCAUGUCUCAAGGGACACCAAAUCUAGAGACUCCACACUCCACAAAACCUCCAGCCUAGUCCCCCAAAUUCAACCACAGCCUCGUUCAAAAUAGCCUGUCUCUGGAACACACUGUCCAGCUGCUCCAGACCUUGCAAUAUUCAGGAAGUCAUCUAUACCUUAAAUAAUAAUAAUAAUAGAAAAGUAAUAAAGAAUGAAAUCAAGUGACUUUACCCUGGAUACCAGGCCACGUUAGCUCAUGGCCCGGUUUUCUGGGUCAGGGACAGGGGUUGUGUGUGAUACUCUUAUGCAAGGCAUUUGGCGGCAGAGAAACUCUAGUUCCUAAAGAUUAUUAUUUUAACUAACCCAGUGUUGACGUGUCCAAAGGCAGCGGGAGGCUCUGAAGGGUUUUCCAAGAAAGCGUGUGUUUCUUGGGGUUAUUUUUUCAGACUCAAGUUCAGGGAGGGGGCUGUUUUGCUCAACUCAUGUUUCUGGAAAAACAGGCACUUGGAAAGAGUUGGCCAAGGCAGGCAGGAUGUGGAAUGGAGAGCUGUGGGCCUGCGGGGAGGGGACGGAGGAGGCAGCCGGGAGAAGGGCCGGCACCCUUUGCUCAGUCUCUUCUUGAGCUGGACCUUGGGAGCCUGGCCAUCCCCGACCAAAGGAAGAGGCUGCUAGAAGAUGAAAGCUGAUUGCAGUCUCUGUGGCCUCACUCUUGAGAAAUAUGCUUCAAUCACUUGGCCUUUCCCUGGAGCAGGGAUGACGACAGAGGAGAGGUGGACAGACACCAUCUUGGUUGGCUUUUAGGCCAACCAAGCCAAGGGUUGCUUCUCAUGGAGUGCUGUCUAGAUAUCGCUGACUCAUUGUGUGCCUCGGUUUCCCCUCUGGGCUCAAGAGCUUUGAGCAUGCUUUGUGUAACCCAGUCCCUGCUUGUCCCUGCAGGUUCAUUCCACGUCACUCUCUUCUUCACGGGCUGGGGUCCAACCCCACUCACCAUCCCUCGGACCCCAGAAGGCCCACGGUCCUGCCAGCCUUGAGGCCUUCCCUUCUGCCUGGAACCCUUCUCUUUGCUCCUAACCUACCUCUGUCGUCUUCCUGGCACCACUUGAAUAUCACCUCCUCGGGAAGCCUUCCCUGAUCUCCCAAACUGAGCCAGGGCCUCCCUUGUUCUAGCAUUCUGUAUUUCCUUGGAGCACAUUUCAUAAUUUAAUUCUAUAAUUCCUUUUCCAGUGUCUACCUCUCUCACUGACUCUGAGGCCCAUGAGGAGAGAAACCACGUCCUUCUCAUUUACUGUGGUUUCCUUGGCUUCUCGCCUGACAUACAAAAGGUGCUCAGUGAGCGAAUGGAAACACCUCCCAAGCAGGGCUCACAGCCGUGGGUGUCCCAACCCAAGUGCAAAGGCAGAGCUCAGAUUUGUCCUGCUGGACCCCAGGACACCAGGCAGGUACCAGACAGGUGAUGGACAGAUGGAGAUGAGUUCUUCUACACCUUCUUAAGAUUAUGCAGAAAGCCACACUCUAGGGAUAAAUAUAUCCCACCCACCUUCAUUAUAUGGUGAUCACCAGUCAAAAGAGGUCAUGUGCCUCAAAAGAAAGGUCUUUAUUUGGUCUGUGAAGACCAGUCAUUCCAUCCCAAGGACUCCCUUCUUCCUCAAGGUUCCUUUAUUCCCUCGUGUUCCCUGGCUUCCUUUCAGAAUCCAAUGGGGACAGAGACUUCGACAGACUCCCCACAGGGUCUCAUGAGGAGACUCCUGUGUGUUCUCACUUCUCCCCUGCUCCUGGAGCCAUUGCUCCCCUGAGACCCACAACUCUUUCAAGCUCAGAGGUGAGUCAUCCAUGCAUCACGUGUCUUGGUGAAUGUCAAGUGUCUCCUGCUUUAGAGCCUUGAGCCCUGGACUUUGUUUUAUGGGGUUUGGCUGUCUGGGGCCGCCGACGAUUUCAUCCAUCAACUCAGGAUCGCUCCAACACUAAUGCUGAAUUUAUAGAAGUGGUUAAACAAAGUGUUGACAAUAGGGACCGCGUGUUUCUGAUUAACACUGCAAUUCCAAGGGAAGCUGCCAAGUGUGGGGAAGUCAGUAAAACACAGCAGCGAUUUCCCAGGCUCAGUGAGUUGGGGAUUUGACAUCACGGGAUUAACAGAUGUUGCGCAAGGAACUUGCAAAGCAUUGGGAGGCAUUGCUCGACAGAACAGCACAGGCUUAUAUACAAACCGGAGUUGUUCCUUCCUGUCUUUCUUCCUUUUGCUUUUUUUUUUUUUUUCCUGAGAGAUUAAAUCUGAAUCCUCUUUCAGCCUUAAGAGUUUCCAUCAGGAAUUGCUGUCAGCUUCAGCAAUGCUCCCAGAAUCCUGUCCUUACUCCUUUCUGAGAGUGAACAGUAACACUGGCUAACAUUUAUCAAAAACUUACUGGGGUACCAGAUACUUCUACAAAUCAUCUCCUGUCAUCUGCACGGGGAAGCAGGGACUGUGAUGAUCUACACUUUAAAGCUAAUGUUUUAGUCUGAAACGGUCGAAGACUCACAAGAAGUUGCAAAAUCAGGACAAAGGGUUCUCAGGUUCCCUUCCCCCAGCAUCCUCCGAUGAUAAUAUCCUAUAUGACCAUAGUACAUUGUCAAAGCCAGGAAAUCAGCUUUGGUCCAAUGCCACACAUCUUAUGCAGCUUGUAUCCAGUGUGUACAUGCAUUUAGAAAAAUAGUCCUAUGAUAUUUUAGCACAUGUUUAGGUUAGAGCAACCACCACCGCAUGAGAAUACAGAAUUUUUCUCUCCCCUCGAUAAAAUUCCCUUGGGUUACCCUAUCAUAAACUUACGCUUUCUUCCGCCCUAAGCUCUGGAAGUCAUUGAGCUGUUCCCCAUCACUAUAAGUUAGUCACUUUAAGAAUGUCAUAUAAAUGGAACUAUACAGUAUACAGCCUCUGAGGUUGACUUUUUUCACUCAGCACAAUGCCCUUGAGAUCCGUCCAUGUGGCUAGAGGUAUCAACGAUUCAUUUCUUCUUGCUGCUGGUCAGUAUUCCUUUGUAUAGAUGUACCGUGCUUUAUCUAUCCACCUGUCGAAGGACAUCUGGUGGUUUUCAGUUUGUGACUAUUGUGGAUAAAGUGCUACGAACAUGCAUGUAAAGGUUUUUCUGUGAUGAUCUGCACCCAGCAGAUGAGGAGAUGGAGGCAAGAGAGGGGAAGUGACUUGCCCAAGCUCUCAUAGCCAGCACUUGUAAUGAAGAUUUGAACCCAGGUAGUCACUCCAGAGGCUUCAUGCUUAACCACCUCCAAGACUGAAAAUCUUGUAGGUAAGAAUAAUCAACCCUAAAAGAUUAGUUAACACACCAGAAAGAUGUGCUGUGUUUAUCAGUGGAUCCAUUUUCUCACAAGAGUACGCCACAUGCCCCUUGCAAAGACAGUUUAAGCAUCAAAAUCUGGAGUCAAAGUCUGGCCCUCGGCUUGGUAUGUAGGGAUCUUCCCAAUCCAGCCUCUACUGGUCUUCAGUUCUCACCUCUUGCCAUCCUUCUCUGGCUGAGCAGAAUGCUGUUUGCUAUUUCCCCUCAAACAGCCCCUGAGAUUCCAGCCUCCUUGAUUCUGCUCACACCAUCCGUUUGCCCAAAAUACCCCUCUCUCUAUGUCCACAAACUCUCUUCUGUUAGUAGGUGCCUCUGUGGAAAGACUGGUCCAUCCUCAUCCCACUCCUCUGGAAGGUCUUGGCUCCCAUGAAUAUUUAUCUAUUUCCAUAAACACAAAUAUAUCCAUUAAGCAAAGCUUCUCAAGGGCCGAGGAUGUGGAAGGCACUGAGCUGAAGCUUGGGAAGCAGAAAUAAAUAAUCUAUAGUCUGUGAGCUCAACUGUCAAGUUCCUCAGUCUGCAGACAUAGAAAGACAUACCGCAUGGAGAGAUGAAUGGAGGGCAAUGGAGGGGGAAAAGUGCUAGGCUUGGAAGGUUGGAGCCCCAGAUUCAAGUCCCGGAUGGCUCCUAUCUGGUGGCGGAACCUCCCUGGACUUGUUUCCCACCCUCUGCUCUGUCUUUCUUACAGAGGGGCUAUGAACAGGCAUGGAGUUAAUUCAUGAUGCAAACAUACUUUCUCCCUGGGCUGGGCAUCUGCAGUGAGGAGCUGGCCUCCUUCACUCGCCUGGGACAACCAGACCCAAGAUCCCAGAGUCAUCAAAAGCCAGUGCCAUUGCAGCUGGCUGCAUGGGAAUCCGGGUGCUUCUUUGUCUGCAGGAUGCAUAUCAGAGGACAGCGUCGGGUUGGAACAAGGGGAGUGAGAGAACAGAGGGCCCACAGGGAGGGACUGACCUUAAAUGCGGCAGCUCCCUUCCGCCUUAGACCCAGAAACAGCCCCAUCAGCCCCACACUCCCACCUGCAGCUCAUCUUCCUCCAGGAACCUUUCAUGCUUGUUCUGCAUUUGAUUUCCUCCCUCCAAUGGCCUCCUGCUCCCCAUAAAAUUCAAUCUCCUUUUGUUUUCAAUUCAAUUAAGGGCCAGUAAUUCCACCCACAAGGCCACACAUUGAAAGUGCAGUCAAUAACCCGGCUGUGGUCAAAGGCAGACUGGCCUGAAGGGAGAGACUCACACAAGUCUCUUGAGUCCCAGCUGAGGAGUAUUGGAUGGGGCCUUGGGGAGAGAAAAGAGCCCCGAUGGGAGUUAGUCUCGACUUCUAGGCUUGGCCGUGGCACCUACUCACCCAUGACCUUGGGCAAGAGCUGGCCUCCCUGAGCUCAGUUUUCCCAUUUGUUAAAUGGGACCAAGAAAGUACUGUUUGUACUUUCUGCCCUGUUCUGACAGAGCUUGUAGCCCCAUUCUGCCACUCACCCAAAUAUCAUGGGUGUUAUUUCAAUACUAAUUUAACGACUGAUUACAAAUAUACCACACCCAGGAAGCCUGCUUGCAGGAACUUGUCCUCUAAAAUAUUUGUGCAUUAGUUGGGUGUGGUGAUAUGCACCUAUAGUCUCAGCUACUUGGGAGGAUCUCUUGAGCCCAGGGGUUCGAGGCUGCAGUGAGCCAUGACUGUGCCAUUCACUCCAGCCUGGGUGAUAGAGCAAUACUCCAAGAAAAACAGAGAAAGAAAGAAAAGAAGGAAAGAAAGAAAGAAGGAAAGAAAGAAAGAAAGAAAGAAAGAAAGAAAGAAAGAAAGAAAGAAAGAAAGAAAGAAAGAAAGAGAAAAUGAAAGAAAGAAAGAAAGAGGAUCUUUGUGCAGAUGUGCAAAGGUAUUGAUUUAAGGAUGUCCAUCAUUUUGGGGGGAUUUAGUACAUUUUCUACUGCCAUACUUUGGAAUACCUUUCAGCUGUGAACAAGAAUGGGAGUAGAUUUACAUGUACUGUUAUGAAAUGGCCAAAAUAUGUUAUUAGGAGAAAGUUGCAGAA